CUCGCAAAUCUCCUAAGCGUUGCUUGUGAGACACUCAAGUACUUUCAAUUUUGCUUGCAUCAUAAAUAACCCAAUAAUUGAUGUAAGCCAUAAGCACUUCAAGAGACAGAAAAGGGUAACUAAAAUUUAUCAAUUACCUUAGUGGAGCCACCACCUCCAUUAAUUGAGCCUUGGAUGAAGAAAGAAUGACCAGAUAAAGCCAAUGAUCAUCAAAAUUCAAAUGAUGGAACAUCAAACACCAUC
rnacentral:lncRNA from 1 species